AGGAUUUUUCCCAAUGCUAUAUAGACAAGCUUUGUCGACGGUCCUUUUCGGCGUCGGGAAAAUAUUCCUCCAUUUACAAUAGAUGUUAGAUUUUAAAAGCCGUCGGGAGAAGAUUUUUAAAAGCCCUAUUCUUUCCUUUUCCUUCAUUUUGCGCCGUUCGACCCCUUCCCUUCGCCCUUCUCCAUGCGUCUGCUGCCCCUUCUCCGCCACCUUCUUCAAACUCGCCCGCUUGAGCCCCUCCGCCGCCCUCCUGUCCCUCCCCCUUUCUGCCCCUUCCGCUUUCCUUCUUUAUGCCCUUUCUGCUCUUCCCCCUCCCCCCUCUCUCACCUAAAGCCUCACUGCCCUUUGAUUUCCAGGUUUCAAGGAGAUUGGACCUUGUUUAUGGUGAUGGGAGUAAUGGGCUUAUGGGUUUGGUUUCUCAAGCUGCUCAAGAUGCAUUUCUCAUGAUGUUUGGCUUAAAAUAAAUUACCCGUGAUGUUUCGAGGUUAGAUUCAGAAUUUGGCGAGACAAUCGCUGCUGUCCAGCGGGUUUGAAGAUGUUUUGGUGACGUUCAGUAAGUGUUAAGGUCGUCUAAUCCUUUAAAAUCUUGGUGUGGUUGCUGGAAUUGUAGUUCAUUAACCUUUAAUUCUGCAUUUGUGUCUAGCUCAUAGCUAAUAUGUCCCUUUAAACUCUUUCGUCAAUUUGAUUAGGAUUGGUAAUGGCUAGUAAUGGAUAUAAAUAUGUGGAAAUGAUUUUAAUUUAUGUAAUUUCUUUACAAUCCUUAUGUUACAAUAAUUUGUCUAAAAGUUUUUUUUGGCUUUGAAUGGAUAUAAUCUAAUUGCACAAA